rnacentral:rRNA from 1 species
UACGUAGGGGGCAAGCGUUGUCCGGAUUUACUGGGCGUAAAGAGCGUGUAGGCGGCCAAACAGGUCCGUUGUGAAAACUGGAGGCUUAACCUCCAGACGUCGACGGAAACCGUGUGGCUAGAGUCCGGAAGAGGAGAGUGGAAUUCCUGGUGUAGCGGUGAAAUGCGCAGAUAUCAGGAAGAACACCAAUGGCGAAGGCGGGUAGCUGGGCCGACACUGACGCUGAUGCGCGAAAGCCAGGGGAGCGAACGGG